rnacentral:rRNA from 1 species
GUGUCAGCCGCCGCGGUAAGACGUAGGAUGCAAGCGUUGUCCGGAUUUAUUGGGCGUAAAGAGUUCGUAGGCGGUUUAUCAAGUCUGGUGUUAAAGCCCGGAGCUCAACUCCGGUUCAGCACUGGAUACUGAUAAGCUGGAGUGCAGAAGAGGCAAGGGGAAUUCCCAGUGUAGCGGCGAAAUGCGUAGAUAUUGGGAGGAACACCGGUGGCGAAAGCGCCUUGCUGGGCUGUUACUGACGCUGAGGAACGAAAGCCAGGGGAGCGAAUGGGAUUAGAAACCCCCGUAGUCC